rnacentral:lncRNA from 1 species
UCAAGAACAAAUAAUACCUAAAAAAGGAUCCCAAAAAAAUAAUAGAAACCCACCUUACUUCCAGAUGGAGCACUUUUUUUUGGAGGGAGUGUUCUCUGGUUUCUGUUGCACACCAUAUACAUUACCAUCAUAAUUAUUACUAUAUUGUAUAUACUACUAAGACGUAAUUAGAGGGACUACCUCUCUUUUUUAAUUCUUCUCCCAAACGUACUCUUUUCAAUAUCAUAUCAUAUAUUGCUGUUACUAGAUCUUCAAUUAUUUUUCCCUUUCUCUCUUCAGAUCUCCAACACCAAGUCUGCAGUAUAAUUAAAAGUCUCAGUCAUUAUAUAUGUAUAUUUGAGAAUUAAUUAAUGGUAUUUGUAAUUACACACUUACAAUCGGCAUCUGUUUUGAUCCAGUGCUCCUUAUUGUGAGAUGAAUCUUCACAGCAAAGUGGAAUGGAUUUGGUUGGAUCGUAUAACUUUGUUUUACAUGUUUGUAAUUCCCAAAGCUUCCUUUAGGAUUGGGGUAGUUGUGUUCAUCAUCACAAGUCCCUUAGCAAAAAAGCAGAUGUAAUUAAUUAAAGUAGAUUUAAAUACAUACUCCAUAUUAAUAUAUUAGGGUGAAAGAAUAGUUAAUUAUUUAAAUACAUACUCCAUGAAAAUUAAUUAAUGUGAGGCUCUCAUAAUAAUUCAUAUAUCCAUCAAUGUUUGGUCGUAAACAAAGUUUCACUAAACCAAAUGCAUCUUUUAACAAAAGUUACAUCAGGUGAGAAAAUAACAGAGAAAGGUCAUGUCAAAGUAAAAGACAAUACUAAAGUAAUGUACCUUACUUUCACAACUUCUGUUAUGGCAUAUAAGCAUGCAUCUCGCAACAAAACAAAAAAUGAAUUCUACUUACUCAAACAAGUAAAUAACCAGAUAUGGUGUGACAGAAUGAAUAAAACAGAUAAACCACCACAAUAUGAAAAAUCUCGAAAAUAUAAGAACAUCUAAUUAACUUGAAAAACUAAAAUGAACCAGAGCAAGAUGCUCACCUCCAAGAAAGAUGGACAGACUUCAAUUAGCUUAACAAAUGCCGCACAAAC